AUGCACGCUGGCGGCGUGCCUAAUACCUGCAAGUCGAGCGAACGGACGAGAAGCUUGCUUCUCUGAUGUUAGCGGCGGACGGGUGAGUAACACGUGGAUAACCUACCUAUAAGACUGGGAUAACUUCGGGAAACCGGAGCUAAUACCGGAUAAUAUUUUGAACCGCAUGGUUCAAAAGUGAAAGACGGUCUUGCUGUCACUUAUAGAUGGAUCCGCGCUGCAUUAGCUAGUUGGUAAGGUAACGGCUUACCAAGGCAACGAUGCAUAGCCGACCUGAGAGGGUGAUCGGCCACACCGGAACUGAGACACGGUCCAGACUCCUACGGGAGGCAGCAGUAGGGAAUCUUCCGCAAUGGGCGAAAGCCUGACGGAGCAACGCCGCGUGAGUGAUGAAGGUCUUCGGAUCGUAAAACUCUGUUAUUAGGGAAGAACAUAUGUGUAAGUAACUGUGCACAUCUUGACGGUACCUAAUCAGAAAGCCACGGCUAACUACGUG
rnacentral:rRNA from 1 species